UACAGAGGUGGCGAGCGUCGUUCGGAUUUACUGGGCGUAAAGGGCGCGUAGGCGGCCGUGUGUGUGGGGUGUGAAAUCUCCGGGCUCAACCCGGAAAGUGCGCCCCAAACUGCACGGCUCGAGUUCGGGAGGGGGGAUCGGAAUACAGGGUGUAGCGGUGAAAUGCGUUGAUAUCCUGUAGAACACCGGUGGCGAAGGCGGAUCCCUGGAACGAAACUGACGCUGAGGCGCGAAAGCAGGGGGAGCAAACAGG
rnacentral:rRNA from 1 species